GUGACCGUAGCUCAGUGGUAGAGCGCCGGACCGUGGCUCCGGAGGCCGUUCGGUUCGAUCCCGACCGGUCACC
rnacentral:tRNA from 1 species